rnacentral:rRNA from 1 species
CUACGGGUCGCUCCAGUGAGGAAUUUUGCGCAAUGGGGGAAACCCUGACGCAGCAACGCCGCGUGAGUGAUGAAGAUCUUCGGAUCGUAAAGCUCUGUCAAGUGGGAAAAAUUCCUUUUGGUUAAUACCCGAAAGGACUGAUGGUACCACUGGAGGAAGCACCGGCUAACUCCGUGCCAGCAGCCGCGGUAAUACGGAGGGUGCAAGCGUUGGUCGGAAUUACUGGGCGUAAAGAGCGUGUAGGCGGUUUGGGAAGUCAGAUGUGAAAGCCCUGGGCUCAACCCAGGAAGUGCAUUUGAAACUUCCAAGCUAGAGUAUGGGAGAGGAGAGUGGAAUUCCCAGUGUAGAGGUGAAAUUCGUAGAUAUUGGGAGGAACAUCGGUGGCGAAGGCGACUCUCUGGAACAAUACUGACGCUGAGACGCGAAAGCGUGGGGAGCAAACAGGAUUAGAUACCCUCGUAGUC